GACGUAGGGCGCGAGCGUUGUCCGGAUUUAUUGGGCGUAAAGAGCUCGUAGGCGGCUUGUCGCGUCGAAUGUGAAAACUCGGGGCUCAACUCCGAGCUUGCAUUCGAUACGGGCAGGCUAGAGUUCGGUAGGAGAGACUGGAAUUCCUGGUGUAGCGGUGAAAUGCGCAGAUAUCAGGAGGAACACCGGUGGCGAAGGCGGGUCUCUGGGCAGUAACUGACGCUGAGGAGCGAAAGCGUGGGGAGCGAACAGG
rnacentral:rRNA from 1 species